ensembl:lncRNA
GUGUGGUUAUGUAGCUUUGGUCACAAAUAUUGUUUCAGUAUGAAAUCCCCAGCUGUGGUAGCUGUUGUAAGGUCUAAGGCCUGUUAGACCUUUUUAAGUAGUCUGAUAUGCCUUGAUGUUUUUGUAUAUUUCCUCUAACUAAAAAACAUCGAUGCACAAUUGGCAUAUAUGUAGAAGAUUAAAGGUUUCUGGGGGUGUUCUUUUUAUGAUUCUAGGACAAUAACUUGCGGCGAUUUAAGGCAUAUUGAGAACAAAAACAAAAAACUAUUUUCCCACCAGGGUUAAGAGCAAUGUGCAGUCCCAACUAUCUCCUCUGCAUACAUAAGUGUCCCCGUCCCUGGUGAGCCAGACUACUGUUUCACAGACAAUAUGAGAGCACUGGCUCAAUGGAGAUAGGUGGAAUAUUAGGAAUAUGAGGAAUAUUAGUAUUAGGAUGGAGAUAGGUGGAAUAUUAGGAAUAUUAGUAUUAGGAUGGAGAUAGGUGGAAUAUUAGAAAUAUUUGGAAUAUUAGUAUUAGGAUGGAGAUAGGUGGAAUAUUAGGAAUAUUGGUAUUAGGAUGGAGAUAGGUGGAAUAUUAGGAAUAUUAGUAUUAGGAUGGAGAUAGGUGGAAGCCAGUAUUAGGAUGUUGCAACAACAGCCUAGAGUUCAACCCGCAUGUCCUUGGCUGUAAAUAAUAUCUGCUCUAAAGGAGGGAGGCAUUGCUGUUUUCAAUAUCAAAAUAUUUAGCAUAGAUUUGUUCAUCGCCCUGUGUGUCGUCCUGUGGUGUUCACCCCUGAUGAAAACACUAAAUGUCUGUGUUUGUUUCAUAGCUUACAUCAUAAUUAAGAACAUCUUUAUUUGUCCCCCCCUUCCCCCUAUCAAUCAUAGACUAAUUGCUGUCUUUACACAGACUUACACAGACAGACUUGGUUUCAAUCUCAAUGAUGCACGCUUGCUGACUGAAAGCAUGGGAAACAAGACAGAAGUAAACAGGCAGCAGUUCAUCGAUCUGUGUUUGUUUCUUACCCUUGGCACUCCAAGAGGGAUGAAGUGGCACAGUGAAGUACUCAUGUCGUCCCCCUGCUUGUGAUUAAGAUGAAUGUGAUAGCAUCAUGGCUGUUUCUAUGCUGGAACACAGG